rnacentral:lncRNA from 1 species
CCAGAAAGAUGUACAUUUAAUCUCAAAUACUGAUCAUUUAUUUGGUUUCUCACUCAUCUUUAUUCUCUAGGUCUUUCUGUUCCAUGGGACACCCCCUAUGAGGAAACAGAGGAGCUUGUGUUAACUUUCCUUGCAGCCACCUUCAGUAGAAUUCACACCACAAAAUGCUUGGGCCCUAGCAGCUCUUGAUCCACGUGCUGGGACUUCUUCCUCUAAUAGGUUCCAUUGCUGCUGCUGCUGCUGUUGUCAUAGCUGAAGCUGUGAUGUCACAGCUGAAGUUGUGCCUGUCUCACCAUCAUAGGUCUACCGUGUCAUGCCUGUCCCUGCAUAUUUGCCAUGAUCCUCUGUGGAAAGUGGCACCGUGUGUAGGCUGACCAACCAUCCCCAUUUGCCUGGGACCAUCCAAGUUUUCGCACUGAAAGGCCUGUGUCCCAGGAAAUCCUGCACCCCUGGACAACUGUGAUGGUUGGUCACUGGGACAUUUACACAUUGGCUGAACCUUCACUCAGGCAGUGCAUUGGAGAUUCUGCAUACCCCAACUCCUAUGUCAGGCAUUAGGUCCACUGUCUGCUUCUUUCCUUCACAACAUUUUUCAGGAGCAUGUGGGUCAAUUUCUCCCACUGGACUCUGCACCAGUUUCCUGGAGAAAUGAGUGAUUUCUGCUGAGGUCACUAGUCUGCAGGCCAGGUUUUGCUUUGGAGAAUUCUGAGGAGAGAGGAAGAAAAGCAGGCUACCAAAGAAAAGCAUGACACCUAAGGAAAGGGUGGAUUUGGACGUUGGGAGUCCUACCAGGUGGCUAAGCCUGCAUCAUUUCUUCUGGUGGCCCGUACAGUCAUCUUGCUUCACUGGCUUGUGAGCUGAAGUUCUAAUGUUGCAAAGCCGAGCAUAGUUGUGGUGGCAGCUGGAGCAUUUUUUGGCAUAGCUUCGAAGGCAGUGAAAGGAGGCUUCGGU